ACUCCUACGGGAGGCAGCAGUGGGGAAUAUUGGACAAUGGGCGCAAGCCUGAUCCAGCCAUGCCGCGUGAGUGAUGAAGGUCCUAGGGUUGUAAAGCUCUUUCACCGGUGAAGAUAAUGACGGUAACCGGAGAAGAAGCCCCGGCUAACUUCGUGCCAGCAGCCGCGGUAAUACGAAGGGGGCUAGCGUUGUUCGGAUUUACUGGGCGUAAAGCGCACGUAGGCGGACUAUUAAGUCAGGGGUGAAAUCCCGGGGCUCAACCCCGGAACUGCCUUUGAUACUGGUAGUCUUGAGUUCGAGAGAGGUGAGUGGAAUUCCGAGUGUAGAGGUGAAAUUCGUAGAUAUUCGGAGGAACACCAGUGGCGAAGGCGGCUCACUGGCUCGAUACUGACGCUGAGGUGCGAAAGCGUGGGGAGCAAACAGGAUUAGAUACCCGAGUAGUCCCAUGA
rnacentral:rRNA from 1 species